GAUGAACGCUAGCUACAGGCCUAACACAUGCAAGUAGAGGGACCGGCGCACGGGUGAGUAACAAGUACCCAACCUGCCUUUUACUCGGGGAUAGCCUAUAAAAAGAAAGAUUAAUACCUGAUGUAAAGAAUGGGGAUGGGUUCCAUUAGGUUGUAGGUGAGGUAACGGCGCACCAAGCCUUCGAUGGAAAGGGGUUCUGAGAGGAAGGCCACCGACAUUGGAACUGAGACACGGUCCAAACUCCAAGGGGAGGCAGCAGUGAGGAAGAGUGGUGGAGGGGCGUUAGCCUGAACCAGCCAAGUAGCGUGAAGGAUGAAGGCUUAUGGGUCUUAAACUUCAUUUAUAAAAGAAUAUGUAUUAUAUGAAUAAGGAACGGCUAACUCCGUGCCAGCAGCCGCGGUAAUAC
rnacentral:rRNA from 1 species